rnacentral:lncRNA from 1 species
CGCCUUUAACACUGACAGACCCUACAGGGAAAGCAGCAUGAUCUAAUGGAUAGAGCACCAGCCUGGGAGUCAGAAGGACCUGGGUUCUAAUCCUGACUCAACCAUCUGUCUGCUGUGUGACCUUGAGCAAGUCACUUCAAUUCUCUGGGCCUCAGUUACCUCACCUGUAAAAUGGGAAUUAAGACGGUGAGCCCUCUGUGGGACAAGGACUUUAUCCAACCUGAUUAGCUUAUAUCUACCCCAGCACUUAGAAGAGUGCUUGACACAUACUGAGCACUUAACAAAUAUCACCAUUAUUAUCUCUUAAAGAGGAAGAAGCCCAAGAAACCUAACAUAUUUCUUCGAUCUGCUCUGAAUGCUGUGGAAGACCAAUGUCAUCAAUUGAACUGCUUAACGAUGCUGAAAGUCUGCUGUAUUAAAUAUACAUCUAGGAUGGCAAAGGUCUGAAAGGAUGUAGAGAUGCAAGAGUAAGAGAUGCCAUGUCAGAGAUAGAAAAUAG